rfam:Helianthus annuus linkage group 4, whole genome shotgun sequence.
GACAGUUUGGCCGAGUGGUCUAAGGCGCCAGAUUUAGGCUCUGGUCCGAAAUGGCGUGGCUUCAAAUCCCACAGCUGUCA